UGAUACACGCUUGCAGAGUUGCAGUAGUCUGCUAGAGUCCAUAGGGGGAAUAUAUUUCUGUAUACUGCGUAAUGCAACAUGCAGUUCUUCAUAAAAACCCCAGAAAUUUCCUGCACACGAAUCAAAGUGAUUUUAUAAAUAAAUAAAAACAUGAAAUGUAGUUAUCUUAUAGAAUAAAGAGUUUUAGAUUAUACUAUAUUUUACCUGUUGGUUUAUGGUUUAAAAUGAGGGUCACUCAUGCUCAAUCACAAUGUCAGCAAAGAACUCUGUAGGAUUCAGCAACUGCAAAACAACUUUGAAAUUUUAUAAGAUGAUAUACUCUUUCUGAAUGUGAAUGUUGAUACAGGUUGGAGAAAAUGAAGAAAACAAGCCACCUCUAACCACUGUUUAGACCAAGUCAAGCUUCAAAAUCUGGAAGAAAUGAAGCCUAAAAGGAUAAGGGGGAGAGAGACAAGGGAGGUUGUUAAGUAGUUGCUAGAAUCAAGGAAGUGUGGACUAAGUGGAUUGUCUCCAACAAACCACAACGGCCACCUCUUCAUCCACUACUCAACCCACUACUUGGAAGCUUGGGGAGCAAGCUGGAAGAUCCUAUAUAAGCUGAGGAAGAGCCUCAGUUCAAAUCACGAAGUUUAAAGAUCAAAAUCGAGUCAUUUGAGUGAUCUGUGUACGAAUGCUGUUUAGAGUGUUAGGAUAACAUCGUUUAUAGCAUUCAUUGAUUUCGUCAGAUUUCGGAGCCUAGCUCUUGAAUCUAGUUUUCUUGUAAGGGUGUCGGGUGUUCAAACCUUAGUCAUUAUAAAGGUUUGAACAUAUGAGUGUUCACUCUUUGUUUAAUCAUUUUGCUAUAAGGCUUCUUCAAAUUAUUUUAUAACUUGAAGAAAUUGUUCCA